rnacentral:tRNA from 1 species
CAGGGAGACAACAAAAUGUUAAAUAUUAUUAUUUUGUCACCUUAGGUCGAUCGGUAUCUCAUGUUCUUAAUUUGUUAAGAAUUUCAUUUCCUAAGUUUUUCUAGGUCACACCCAUUAUUUUUCCUGGGCCAUUAGCUCAGGUGGUUAGAGCGCACCCCUGAUAAGGGUGAGGUCCCUGGUUCAAGUCCAGGAUGGCCCAUAUCUCUAUGUUGGGGGUAUAGCUCAGUUGGUAGAGCGCCUGCUUUGCAAGCAGGAUGUCAGCGGUUCGAGUCCGCUUACCUCCACUGAUUACCACCUCUUCCAUAACCGGUAGAAAGGAAAUGUUUUGAGUUGUGAUCAUUAUUCUGAACGAAUCUAGCUUCCUAAAAAAAUCAUUAAGAUGCUGGACUCAUUGAAUUAAUUUCAUUGUUUUCAGAGAACCUUGACAACUGCAUAGAUUAUUUUAAAGACAAUAAGCAUCUUUAAUGAUGCAGAUUUAUUAUUUGUGCGAAUGCAUUAAUAACAAUUCUAUUAAGCUGAUGCUUCAGUUUUUGAAGUUAUU